AUACUUACCCGGGCGGGGUCCAUAGAUUAUCAGGAGGGUCAAUGGCCUAGGAAGGCUACCUCCAUUGCACUUGGUAGGGGGGUCUACCUAGAAUCUCACAUUGAGGAGAGUGCACGUCAUAAUUUGUCAUAAUUUGUCGCAGCAGAGGCUCACGUUCGCGCGGCCUCCAC
rnacentral:snRNA from 1 species